rnacentral:rRNA from 3 species
UCUCCUGGAAACGGGUGGUAAUGCCGGAUGCUCCAGUUGAUCGCAUGGUCUUCUGGGAAAGCUUUCGCGGUAUGGGAUGGGGUCGCGUCCUAUCAGCUUGACGGCGGGGUAACGGCCCACCGUGGCUUCGACGGGUAGCCGGCCUGAGAGGGCGACCGGCCACAUUGGGACUGAGAUACGGCCCAGACUCCUACGGGAGGCAGCAGUGGGGAAUAUUGCACAAUGGGCGCAAGCCUGAUGCAGCGACGCCGCGUGAGGGAUGGAGGCCUUCGGGUUGUAAACCUCUUUUAUCGGGGAGCAAGCGAGAGUGAGUUUACCCGUUGAAUAAGCACCGGCUAACUACGUGCCAGCAGCCGCGGUAAUACGUAGGGUGCAAGCGUUAUCCGGAAUUAUUGGGCGUAAAGGGCUCGUAGGCGGUUCGUCGCGUCCGGUGUGAAAGUCCAUCGCUUAACGGUGGAUCCGCGCCGGGUACGGGCGGGCUUGAGUGCGGUAGGGGAGACUGGAAUUCCCGGUGUAACGGUGGAAUGUGUAGAUAU